CUACGGGUCGCUCCAGUGGGGAAUAUUGCGCAAUGGGCGAAAGCCUGACGCAGCCACGCCGCGUGUGUGAAGAAGGCCUUAGGGUCGUAAAGCACUGUCAAGAGGGACGAAGCUUCGGUUGACGGUACCUCUUGAGGAAGCACCGGCUAACUCCGUGCCAGCAGCCGCGGUAAUACGGAGGGUGCAAGCGUUGCUCGGAAUCACUGGGCGUAAAGCGGGCGCAGGCGGCCUGCCAAGUCGGUUGUGAAAGCCCGGGGCUCAACCCCGGAACUGCAAUCGAAACUGGCAAGCUUGAGUACGUGAGAGGGAAGCGGAAUUCCUGGUGUAGAGGUGAAAUUCGUAGAUAUCAGGAGGAACAUCUGUGGCGAAGGCGGCUUCCUGGCACAGUACUGACGCUCAUGCCCGAAAGCGUGGGGAGCAAACAGGAUUAGAUACCCGGGUAGUC
rnacentral:rRNA from 1 species